UUAUGGCCAUAUCACACUGAAAACAUCAGUUCAUGUAUGAUCACCGAGGUUAAGCAACAUUGAACCUGAUCAGUACCUAAAUGGGUAACCGUUUGGGAAUGUCAGGUGCUAUA